AUCCAAGAGAACACCGCGGAAUAGUGACAGUGACCCUCCCCGCCUUCAGGAGCGUGGCGUUCAAGGUCUAAGAAAUUUAUUGUCGAAGAACGCGUUAGCCCAGUCACACGUACCGCUGAAUCCAAAUGCAGCGUCAUUUGUUCCUCGCGUACUGAGAGCACCGGACCUACCUACGAAACAAGCGUCAGAUGGUGAUGUUGGAGCAUCAACUGGGUCACAGCCAUCAAGUCUAACUUCUACCAUAUCCUUGAGACAACUCCAGUCUGCGGGGAAUGCUCGUUGUCGUCUCCCGCCAAAAGGACCCGGAAGAGGCCGAGCACAGCCUCCAAACAUGGCUGGUGCUGGGAAUGGUGGAGCAUCAACAGGGCCGCCUACUACCGCAUA